CAAAGGAGGAUUUGUCAUUUAGUCCUAAAAUCUGUUUGCGACCAAAUGAUACGUUGUUACCAAGGAUGACAACGUUUAUCAAGCAUAGGUCGUUGUGUGCCAUAUAGGUUGGUUGUCCUCUUAACCAAUGAGUGUGGAGACACUGGUAUGGCAUACAGGUGAGAUGUAAGGGUACAUCUGCACUGAACGUGACCGGCUCCGGAGCUAUUUCUACUGUCAAGAUUUGCUCUGAUAGAAUAUGGGUAUAAAUAUCUCUCCGACCUGAGACCACC
rnacentral:lncRNA from 1 species